rnacentral:rRNA from 1 species
AUUGAACGCUGGCGGCAGGCCUAACACAUGCAAGUCGAGCGGAAACGAAGAGGUGCUUGCACCUCUGGCGUCGAGCGGCGGACGGGUGAGUAAUGCUUGGGAAUAUGCCUUAUGGUGGGGGACAACAGUUGGAAACGACUGCUAAUACCGCAUGAUGUCUACGGACCAAAGUGGGGGACCUUCGGGCCUCACGCCAUAAGAUUAGCCCAAGUGGGAUUAGCUAGUUGGUGAGGUAAUGGCUCACCAAGGCGACGAUCCCUAGCUGGUUUGAGAGGAUGAUCAGCCACACUGGGACUGAGACACGGCCCAGACUCCUACGGGAGGCAGCAGUGGGGAAUAUUGCACAAUGGGCGCAAGCCUGAUGCAGCCAUGCCGCGUGUGUGAAGAAGGCCUUCGGGUUGUAAAGCACUUUCAGUAAGGAGGAAAGGUUGAGUGUUAAUAGCGCUUAGCUGUGACGUUACUUACAGAAGAAGCACCGGCUAACUCCGUGCCAGCAGCCGCGGUAAUACGGAGGGUGCGAGCGUUAAUCGGAAUUACUGGGCGUAAAGCGUACGCAGGCGGUUUGUUAAGCGAGAUGUGAAAGCCCCGGGCUCAACCUGGGAACUGCAUUUCGAACUGGCAAACUAGAGUGUGAUAGAGGGUGGUAGAAUUUCAGGUGUAGCGGUGAAAUGCGUAGAGAUCUGAAGGAAUACCGAUGGCGAAGGCAGCCACCUGGGUCAACACUGACGCUCAUGUACGAAAGCGUGGGGAGCAAACAGG